UACUGGCAGGAUCAACCAGGUAGCAUUCCUUCGCGACGCCGACGCCCGCAUGAGGCCCGACGGGCCGUGCGGCCCUCGGACGCUCAAGACGGGCGCGGCAGUCGUUCGUGUCGAGGGACGAAAUGCGUUGCUUGGGCAAACGAAGGCCGAGAGACCCCGCACCCGCGCAUAACAUUCUGCAUCCGAGAGCACGGGCAGAGCACCUCAUGGGCCGGGGCAACCACGCAAGCGGGCGAGGCAUGCCGGGAACACGAGGCUCGCCUUGCGUCCACCCCACCA
rnacentral:misc_RNA from 1 species